CUAUGGAUGGAUCAUGCCCAAAGAGCUGCUGCUGCUGCAACUGUUGCUGCUGAGCAUGCUGUGAUGGCUGAACUGGAACCUGAUGCUGUAAUGUCUGAGAAGUCUGGGUCAAGAGUUGAGAUGCUUGAUUUUGCAUUUGUUGUUGUUGUUGCUGCUGCUGCUGCUGGUGCUGCUGCUGCAUUCGUUGCAAAUGUUGCUGCUGUAGUUGCUGCUGCUGUAACUGUUGUUGAAGGUUUUGCUGCUGUAGUUGCAGCUGCUGUUGCUGUAGCUGCUGUUGCUGUAGCUGAUGCAACUGCUGUUGCAAGGCAUGCUGCUGCU